rnacentral:rRNA from 1 species
GAUGAACGCUGGCGGCGUGCCUAAUACAUGCAAGUCGAGCGAACGGACGAGAAGCUUGCUUCUCUGAUGUUAGCGGCGGACGUGUGAGUAACACGUGGAUAACCUACCUAUAAGACUGGUAUAACUUCGGGAAACCGUAGCUAAUACCGGAUAAUAUUUUGAACCGCAUGGUUCAAAAGUGAAAGACGGUCUUGCUGUCACUUAUAGAUGGAUCCGCGCUGCAUUAGCUAGUUGGUAAGGUAACGGCUUACCAAGGCAACGAUGCAUAGCCGACCUGAGAGGGGGAUAGGCAACACUGGAACUGAGACACGGUCAAGAAGCCUACGGGAGGCAGCAGUAGGGAAUAUUCCGCAAUGGGCGAAAGCCUGACGGAGCAACGCCGCGUGAGUGAUGAAGGUCUUCGGAUCGUAAAACUCUGUUAUUAGGGAAGAAAAUAUGUGUAAGUAACUGUGCACAUAUUGACGGUACCUAAUCAGAAAGCCACGGCUAACUACGUG